GCGAUAGCUCGUUUCGCAAGGGUGGUCGGCUAGCCCCGUGAAAGGGGGUGAGGCCUUUUGACAGUUUUUGAAUCGAUGACAUUGAUGAUUUCAUUUGCUUGUCUGAUCAUCGCUGUCUUAACUUUUAACCAAAAUAAAUAGACCUCCCUUGACCGCAAAUUGAGGGAGAGGUCUA
rnacentral:sRNA from 1 species